GAUGUGUAGCUGAAGGAGGUGGAAGCAUUUGUGACAGAAUUGUAUAAGAAAAGAAUAAUCACAAUGCCUUUCCAGUUUAGCACAUUCAAGUGGG
rnacentral:pre_miRNA from 1 species